rnacentral:rRNA from 1 species
GACGUAGGGCGCGAGCGUUGUCCGGAAUUAUUGGGCGUAAAGAGCUCGUAGGCGGUCUGUCGCGUCUGCUGUGAAAACCCGAGGCUCAACCUCGGGCCUGCAGUGGGUACGGGCAGACUAGAGUGCGGUAGGGGAGAAUGGAACUCCUGGUGUAGCGGUGGAAUGCGCAGAUAUCAGGAAGAACACCGAUGGCGAAGGCAGAUCUCUGGGCCGUAACUGACGCUGAGGAGCGAAAGCAUGGGGAGCGAACAGG